GACGUAGGGCGCGAGCGUUGUUCGGAAUUACUGGGCGUAAAGGGCUCGUAGGCGGCCAACUAAGUCAUACGUGAAAUCCCCCGGCUUAACCGGGGAACUGCGUCUGAUACUGGAUGGCUUGAGUUCGGGAGAGGGAUGCGGAAUUCCACGUGUAGCAGUGAAAUGCGUAGAGAUGUGGAGGAACACCGAUGGCGAAGGCAGCCCCCUGGGUCAAAACUGACGCUCAUGCACGAAAGCGUGGGGAGCAAACAGG
rnacentral:rRNA from 1 species